UGGGGGUAAAAUUAAUAAAAUAAAACUAAAAAAAAAAAUUUUAAAUAAAAUAUUUUAAAGGGGGGUUAAAGUAUUUUAAAAGAAAAAAUUUUUAAUUUUAUAGUGGAAUAGUAUUGUAAAAGAAUUUUGAAAUAAAUUAAAAAUAAAUUUUUAUAAAAGUAAUUUUAAUUUAAUGUAUCUUGUGUAUCAGAGUUUAUUAAUAAAAAAUUUAAUUUAUAAAUUUUCUCGAAUUUAAAAGAGUUAAUUAAUUAUAAAAGUUAUUGUUGCAAAAAUAUUUUAAAUAAUUAAUUUGAAAUGAAAUGUUAAUCGUUUUUAAAUAUAUCUAGUUUUUUUAGAAAAAAAUUUAAUUUUAAAUUUUAAUUUAAAAUAUUUUUUAUUUUAAAAAAAUUUUUAUGUAGAAUUUAAUAAUUUAAGGGAUAAGCUUUAAAUUAAAUAUUUAUAAUUGAUUGUAAAUUUUCAAAUAAUUAAGAUUUAUAUAAUUUAAAUUGUUAAUAAAUUUUAAUUUUUUAUAAAUAAUCUUAAAUAAAAUAAAAUUUAAAAAAUAUUUAAAUUUUUAUAAAAAAAUAAAUUAAAAAUAAUUAAAUUUAAUUAUAAUGAUAAAAUUAGUAUAUAAAUAUAUGUAAAAUAAAUUAAAAAUUAUGAAAAUUAAUAAAAAGGAAUUCGGCAAAAAUUUAUAUUCACUUGUUUAUCAAAAACAUGUCUUUUUGAAAAUAAUUUAAAGUCUAAUCUGCCCACUGAUGAAAAUUAAAGGGCUGCAGUAUUUUGACUGUACAAAGGUAGCAUAAUCAUUAGUCUCUUAAUUGGUGACUUGUAUGAAAGAUUGGAUGAGAUAUAAACUGUCUCUUUAUUAUUUGUAGAAUUUAAUUUUUUAUUUAAAAAGUUAAAAUAAAUUUAAAAGACGAGAAGACCCUAUAGAGUUUUAUAGAUUUUAUAAUGUAUAAUUUUAUAUAAAUAAUUAAUUAAAAAUUGUAAUAUUUAUUUUAUUGGGGUGAUAGAAAAAUUAAAAAAACUUUUUUUAAAAAAUAACAUAGAUAAGUGAAUAAAAGAUCCAAAAAUUUUGAUUGAAAGAAAAAAUUACCUUAGGGAUAACAGCGUAAUUUUUUUUUUUAGUUCAAAUAAAAAAAAAAGUUUGCGACCUCGAUGUUGGAUUAAGAUAAAAUUUAAAUGCAAAAGUUUAAAAUUUUGAUCUGUUCGAUCAUUAAAAUCUUACAUGAUCUGAGUUCAAACCGGUGUGAGCCAGGUUGGUUUCUAUCUUUAGAUAAAUGAAAUAUUUUAGUACGAAAGGAUCAAAUAUUUAAAAUAAAUUUUAAAUUAAAUGAAUAUUAAUAAAUUAGUUGUAAA
rnacentral:rRNA from 1 species